rnacentral:rRNA from 1 species
AAAGGAAUUGACGGGGGCCCGCACAAGCGGUGGAGCAUGUGGUUUAAUUCGAUGCAACGCGAAAAACCUUACCUGGACUUGACAUCCCACUGAAAGCUUUUAGAGAUAAGAGCCCUCUUCGGACAGUGGAGACAGGUGCUGCAUGGUUGUCGUCAGCUCGUGCCGUGAGGUGUUGGGUUAAGUCCCGCAACGAGCGCAACCCUUGUCCAUAGUUGCCAUCAUUAAGUUGGGGACUCUAUGGAGACUGCCGGUGUUAAACCGGAGGAAGGUGAGGAUGACGUCAAAUCAUCACGGCCCUUAUGUCCAGGGCUACACACGUGCUACAAUGGUACGGACAAAGAGGAGCGAAAUCGCGAGGUGGAGCAAAUCUCAAAAACCGUAUCUCAGUUCGGAUUGGAGUCUGCAACUCGACUCCAUGAAGUUGGAAUCGCUAGUAAUCGUGGAUCAGCAUGCCACGGUGAAUACGUUCCCGGGCCUUGUACACACCGCCCGU